rnacentral:sRNA from 1 species
UUGACCUCGGAUCAGGUAGGAAUACCCGCUGAACUUAAGCAUAUCAAUAAGCGGAGGAAAAGAAACCAACAGGGAUUGCCCUAGUAACGGCGAGUGAAGCGGCAACAGCUCGAAUUUGAAAUCUGGCUUCGGCCCGAGUUGUAAUCUGUAGAGGAUGCUUUUGGCGCGGUGCCUUCCGAGUGCCCUGGAACGGGACGCCACAGAGGGUGAGAGCCCCGUAUGGUCGGACACCAAGCCUGUGUAAAGCUCCUUCGACGAGUCGGGUAGCUUGGGAAUGCUGCUCUAAGUGGGAGGUAAACUUCUUCUAAAGCUAAAUACUGGCCAGAGACCGAUAGCGCACAAGUAGAGUGAUCGAAAGAUGAAAAGCACUUUGAAAAGAGGGUCAAAUAGUACGUGAAAUUGUUGAAAGGGAAGCGCUCAUGACCAGACUUGCGCCGGGCUGAUCAUCCAGUGGUUUCCACUGGUGCACUCUGCCCGGCUCAGGCCAGCGUCGGCUGUCACGGGGGGACAAAAGCACUGGGAAAGUAGCUCUCUCCGGGGAGUGUUAUAGCCCUAUGCAGAAUACCCCCGCGGCGGCCGAGGUCCGCGCUCUGCAAGGACGCUGGCGUAAUGGUCAUCA